GCAAGCUCAACAACCAGCUCAGCAGCUAGCUAUCCUCCUCUCUUGAGACAAACAAGUGAGCACACCAUGCUUCGGGCCAAGAACCCUGUAGCGACCGAGGGUGAGGUGACGAUAGAAAAGGUGGAGAAGAUUAAACCUGUCGGCGAGGUGGUCACCAGACCACCGCCAGAGCAGAUAACGAUGGUGGGGCAGAUGGAUUCUGGUGUUGCCGUCUCUGACAUGAAGAAGGUGCCGAUCGUGUUGUCAGCGAAAUACAUCGACGACUACAUCGCGAGGAAGAAGCAGCAGUUUGAUCAGCCAUGAGCUUAGUUUAAGUUAGUUUGAGAAGAGAUGGAAAGUCUAAAAGCUCAACACCGGUGCUCAUGAUCUAAUGUUCUAUCUAAUACUCGGAAUACAGCAUUAUGUUAUGGAAUUAGUAUAUCUAUAAGACUGCUUUAGUUAUGGACAAGCAUAUGUACCAUGUGAGCUGUUAGCACUAUGAAGACUGAUAUAUAACAUGACAUUAUUAA